rnacentral:lncRNA from 1 species
UUUUUUUUUUUUUUCUCAAGUACAUUUGGAGAAAUUAGUUUUUGUCCCAGAGAGACACUUCCUGGGGGCAAUUAAAUAUUAGUGGAUUGGGUCUUCUGGUUUGAUAAAAUUUUGCCUUCUAAAAAUGGCAAACAGAGUCAUGAUUUUUUUUAAGAUCACAUUUCCUCACUAGAAAAAUUCACCUUUGGGGUAGAGUACUCAAUGGAGAAUUCCAGCGGAGAAAGGAAAAUUUCUCAAAGAGCGGUGAGCAAUCACGAAGAAGAACUUUGAAAUAGACAGGACAAGUUAUUUGGUAACCUCUGGUGUUUGUUACUACAAAUGCUAGGCCUUGCAGAGAUAAGAAUUUCCUAACACAUGAGGGUGUUAGUCAGACUUAGGAGGGAUUUUGCCCUGGCUUUGGGUAUAGACUUUCACAAAGAAAAUUGUGUUCUGAGAUGAGCAAAAAAGCUGAAAGGCAGCGUAAGGCAUCCUUGCAUUGCAGCUGUAUGUACAAGCUCUUAGAGUGUGGACAUUCGUUCUUCAACUGAUGAGUACUUGCAGCCCUGAGUUGGAAAAUUCAGGAGGAAAGGAAGGAAGACGAGAAAAAAGGAAAGGAGAGAGCAAAAGUGGGAGGGAGGAAAGAAGGAGAAGAAAAUUGCUAAACACUGUUUAUCCCCUCACCUCAUUAGAAAAUUCACUACUAUAAAGUUAAAUUCUAUUUUCCACCCAUAAUACUAACUCUGGGCUCAAGCGCACAAAUACACACAUGAAAAUAAUUCGGGGAGGAAUUAGCAUGUAUAAUUACCUGGAAUAAUGUUUAGUGUGUUCAUUUAGCAGUGUGAGUUGCAGCUUAUAAAACAACUAUGUUAUUCUGUGUGCUUGGAAGAUUCUUUGCAUCCCGAGUUACAGCAGUGUUGCACACCCUCCUGAGGCCAGGCUCACAGAGAAGGUGGCACUGUGGCAUAGAGGGACAGAUUUGGCCCCCUGUGAGCUCAGCUCCAGCAUCCUUGCAUCCCAAAGCAGAGGAUAUUUUCCCUAGUGGAAGAGACAGAAAGAACAGGUCCUCAGUGGAAAAGAGGAGAUGAAACGUGUCAGCAGCGGGAACACCACACUGAGAGACAAGGGGCUGGGCUACAGUCGGCCAUGCCACCUCUCACUCAGUGAACUUAGUUAAUCACUUCUUUUCUCAGGAAAAUAAAGGGAUGUGGCCAGAUGGGGCAUGGCCUGAGGUUCUCUUCUAACUCUAUUUGUUUUGUUUUGUUUUGUUUUGUUUUUGAGACAGUCUCACUCUAUGGCCCAGGCUGGAGUGCAGUGACACGAUCUCCGUUCACUGCAACCUCCGUCUCCUGGGUUCAAGCAAUUCUCAUGCCUCAGCCUCCUUCAAGUAGCUGGGAUUACAGGCAUUUUCCACCACAUCAGACUAUGCUUUUUAUUUUUAGUAGAGAUGGGGUUUCACCAUGCUGGCCAGGCUGGUCACAAACUCCUGGCC